UACGAAGGGGGCUAGCGUUGCUCGGAAUCACUGGGCGUAAAGCGCACGUAGGCGGCUUACUAAGUCAGAGGUGAAAUCCUGGAGCUCAACUCCAGAACUGCCUUUGAUACUGGUGAGCUCGAGUCCGGGAGAGGUGAGUGGAACUGCGAGUGUAGAGGUGAAAUUCGUAGAUAUUCGCAAGAACACCAGUGGCGAAGGCGGCGCACUGGCCCGGUACUGACGCGGAGGUGCGAAAGCGUGGGGAGCAAACAGG
rnacentral:rRNA from 1 species